GAUGAACGCUGGCGGCGUGCCUAAUACAUGCAAGUCGAGCGAACAGAUAAGGAGCUUGCUCCUUUGACGUUAGCGGCGGACGGGUGAGUAACACGUGGGUAACCUACCUAUAAGACUGGAAUAACUCCGGGAAACCGGGGCUAAUGCCGGAUAACAUUUAGAACCGCAUGGUUCUAAAGUGAAAGAUGGUUUUGCUAUCACUUAUAGAUGGACCCGCGCCGUAUUAGCUAGUUGGUAAGGUAACGGCUCACCAAGGCAACGAUACGUAGCCGACCUGAGAGGGUGAUCGGCCACACUGGAACUGAGACACGGUCCAGACUCCUACGGGAGGCAGCAGUAGGGAAUCUUCCGCAAUGGGCGAAAGCCUGACGGAGCAACGCCGCGUGAGUGAUGAAGGUCUUCGGAUCGUAAAACUCUGUUAUUAGGGAAGAACAAAUGUGUAAGUAACCGUGCACGUCUUGACGGUACCUAAUCAGAAAGCCACGGCUAACUACGUG
rnacentral:rRNA from 1 species